rnacentral:rRNA from 1 species
UACAGAGGGGGCAAGCGUUGUUCGGAAUUACUGGGCGUAAAGGGCGCGUAGGCGGCCUUCUAAGUCGAACGUGAAAUCCCCGGGCUCAACCCGGGAACUGCGUCCGAUACUGGAAGGCUUGAAUCCGGGAGAGGGAUGUGGAAUUCCAGGUGUAGCGGUGAAAUGCGUAGAUAUCUGGAGGAACACCGGUGGCGAAGGCGACAUCCUGGACCGGUAUUGACGCUGAGGCUCGAAAGCCAGGGGAGCAAACGGG